CCUAGAUGGCAUAGCGUACCUCAACACCUAGGCUACACUGUUUGACCACCGACUGCUCCUAGGCUACAAACCUGAACAGCAUGUUACUAUACUGAAUACUGUAGGCAACUGUAACACAAUGGGCUGUGGAUGACCAACCUGAGCCACAUGUUAAAAGAAGGACCCUAGACAGCCCCAAGCACUGCCCAAACCAUCUCAGAGGAAAGCCCUGGACUUCUCCUGAAUGCUCAUCCAUCAGCUUAAGGGCUUGUCUGGUGAAGACCACGUUCACCUGGGCGAGGGAUUUAAGGAGGCAUAGCUAUUCCUUACAGUGUGCCACAUGUGCUCGCUUACCUGGAAGCACACAUAUGGACCUCCGGAAGUCCACACCCAAGAAACCAUGACUGAAAGAAAGAAAAGGGAUCCUCUGCUUCUUGAAGAUUCAUCUCUGUUCCACCUGCAUGUUGGAGGAGACAGUCUACUUAAGGCUCCAUAGCCCACCAUACUACAGUACAACUCAACACUGUACGUCCUCGAUAGCCAUGCAGAAAACAUACACCAAAUAGAAGUAGGACACUACUACUGAGAGAAGGAAGGCACAGAAACACAUUCAGCAUAAAAGGGUAUGAAAAUGCCUGAACACAAUCAUACCCUUCACAACUUUGGUGAAUCUCAGCACAGAGCACCUGUCCAGCUCCUCACCAGCCAGCACCUGGACCUCUGAGGAAUGUGCCACAGGGCUCCAUGAGCAUCGUCAUCUUCACAGGUGAGGCCCAGAAAGAUGAAGGAUUUUGCACAAGGUCUCAAAGCUCACCAUGCAAGAAAAAUGUCUGAACAGAAAUAAAACUGAACAUGUUGAUUAUUCUUGAUGAUAUUUUGAAUGCAACAAGUACUCAUGGAGUGUUUUUCAGCAUCCAGUAACACCAUACUAGAUAUAAUAACUUGUUAAGAGAGACUUUCCCAAGGUCAAAAAUAAGAGGAUUGAGAGAAGCACUUUCAUAUUAUUCA